AGCAGCCGCGGUAAUUCCAGCUCCAAUAGCGUAUAUUAAAGUUGUUGCAGUUAAAAAGCUCGUAGUUGAAUUUCGGGAUCAAUACGUCGGUCGUGCUUCGGUACGUACUGGCGUCAUUGAUUUCUCCCUUCUGACGAACCAUGAUGUCAUUAACUUGGUGUCAUGGGAAAUCAGGACUGUUACUUUGAAAAAAUUAGAGUGUUUAAAGCAGGCUCACGCUUGAAUACAUUAGCAUGGAAUAAUGAAAUAGGACGUUCGAACCUAUUUUGUUGGUUUCUAGGAUCAACGUAAUGAUUAAUAGGGAUAGUUGGGGGCAUUAGUAUUCAAUUGUCAGAGGUGAAAUUCUUGGAUUUAUUGAAGACUAACUACUGCGAAAGCAUUUGCCAAGGAUGUUUUCAUUAAUCAAGAACGAAAGUUAGGGGAUCGAAGACGAUCAGAUACCGUCGUAGUCUUAACCAUAAACUAUGCCGACUAGGGAUCGGAUGAUGUUAAUUUUUUAAUGACUCAUUCGGCGCCUUAA
rnacentral:rRNA from 1 species